rnacentral:rRNA from 1 species
UACGUAGGGGGCGAGCGUUGUCCGGAUUUAUUGGGCGUAAAGAGCGUGUAGGCGGCCAGGUAGGUCUGCUGUGAAAACUCGAGGCUCAACCUCGAGACGUCGGCGGAAACCAUCUGGCUAGAGUCCGGAAGAGGAGAGUGGAAUUCCUGGUGUAGCGGUCAAAUGCGCAGAUAUCAGGAAGAACACCCGUGGCGAAGGCGGCUCUCUGGGACGGUACUGACGCUGAGACGCGAAAGCGUGGGGAGCGAACAGG